UAAUACAUGCAAGUCGAGCGAACAGACAAGGAGCUUGCUCCUCUGACGUUAGCGGCGGACGGGUGAGUAACACGUGGGCAACCUGCCCUGUAGACUGGGAUAACUUCGGGAAACCGGAGCUAAUACCGGAUAAUCCAUUUCACCUCAUGGUGAAAUGUUGAAAGGCGCUUUCGGGCGUCACUACAGGAUGGGCCCGCGGUGCAUUAGCUAGUUGGUGGGGUAACGGCCUACCAAGGCGACGAUGCAUAGCCGACCUGAGAGGGUGAUCGGCCACAUUGGGACUGAGACACGGCCCAAACUCCUACGGGAGGCAGCAGUAGGGAAUCUUCCACAAUGGACGAAAGUCUGAUGGAGCAACGCCGCGUGAGUGAUGAAGGUUUUCGGAUCGUAAAACUCUGUUGUAAGGGAAGAACAAGUACGUUAGGAAAUGAACGUACCUUGACGGUACCUUAUUAGAAAGCCACGGCUAACUACGUGCCAGCAGCCGCGGUAAUACGUAGGUGGCAAGCGUUGUCCGGAAUUAUUGGGCGUAAAGCGCGCGCAGGCGGUCCCUUAAGUCUGAUGUGAAAGCCCACGGCUCAACCGUGGAGGGUCAUUGGAAACUGGGAGACUUGAGUGCAGAAGAGGAAAGUGGAAUUCCAAGUGUAGCGGUGAAAUGCGUAGAGAUUUGGAGGAACACCAGUGGCGAAGGCGACUUUCUGGUCUGCAACUGACGCUGAGGCGCGAAAGCAUGGGGAGCAAACAGGAUUAGAUACCCUGGUAGUCCAUGCCGUAAACGAUGAGUGCUAAGUGUUAGGGGGUUUCCGCCCCUUAGUGCUGCAGCUAACGCAUUAAGCACUCCGCCUGGGGAGUACGACCGCAAGACUGAAACUCAAAGGAAUUGACGGGGGCCCGCACAAGCGGUGGAGCAUGUGGUUUAAUUCGAAGCAACGCGAAGAACCUUACCAGG
rnacentral:rRNA from 1 species